rnacentral:rRNA from 1 species
CGGAUAGAGCCAGCGAAGUCGCUUGUAUUCAGCCAAAGACCCGGGGCUACCUGUCGUCGUGUUUCUAAUCGAGCACGGCGGCUUGUCUCUGCUCCGGGCCGAGGUGCAUUUGCAGGCGUUUGCGCCGAGACUUGCGAGGCAGCUUCUGGACCGGUGCUUAGAGGCCUCCCUCUGGGUUGAACCUGGGCGCCGUUACAGCUGUUUGCCCUGCUCGUACUGGUCCGGCCAACGAACCUGUGUGGUGUUGUUGUCAACUGGCCAAGGCAUCGCAUGCGAUGUCUAGUCUGGGGGCUACAGCAUGGCAUUGUGUUCCCGGACCGCCUCUCGGUGUAGAAGCUGGUCAUCUCUCCGACCCGUCUUGAAACACGGACCAAGGAGUUUAGCGUAUGCGCGAGUCAUUGGGUGCACAAACCCACAGGCGCAAUGAAAGUAAAGGCUCGGUCGCCGGGCUGACAUGCGAGUGCCGCGGCUUCGGCCCAGGCAUGCAGCAUGGUCCCGUUGCAGCCGCUUGCGGCGCAGCGGAGACAGAGCGUAUGCGCUGAG